rnacentral:antisense_RNA from 1 species
UGAAUAAGAUGAAGAAGUCCAUCAGAAGUAGCAACCAGGAGAUCUUCCAACACAGACUGCAAACUGUGCUAUACUCUGUGCUGGAUAUUCGAGGAUGAAUAAAAUAUUCUCCGUCUUCAGAGGACUUCUCAGGCAAGAAAUCAAAAAUAGUUACAUAGCAUGAUCUCAACACAUCAAUAUUUGUGAAGAUAUUCAGCAUUUACUUCUUUAAUGGGGAAAUAGCCUGUUUUGCUCACCUCUGUAUGCACAGCCCCAAGGGCAGUGUUAGUUAAAUCUGUCACUAAAUAUUUGUGCAAAGGAGGCAAGAAGAGGGAAAGGGUUAGAGGAAAGAGGAACCCAUAAAUGAGACUGCAAAGGUACUGGCACAAAGAAAAAGACAACAAGGGAAACCAGUAGAAACUGAUAUCAAGAAAGCCAAGGAAGUAAGAUUAAUUUAAGAAAGAGUGUUCAAAGUAUCAAAUACUAUAUAAGGAAAAACAAAAAAUGUUAUGUGUAUAUUAUAUAUACCUUAUUAAAUACUAUUAAAUUCCUUUUCAUACUU